rnacentral:misc_RNA from 1 species
AGGACAUUGAUUCCUACACCAUCCAUCAAGGGUACCAACAAGCUCGUCAGAGGACCUGAUAAAGCUAGUGACAAAUACGAAGCUUUCCUUUUGACUUCAUCCUCAGUUGUUGUACUUGGAUUCCUCUCAUUUUGCUUAUGGCACCGCUGAUGUCGUUCAUGGUCGUGUUAUCGUAUCUGAUUUGCGGAUCACCUAAUACUGAGU